rnacentral:rRNA from 1 species
CAGAGCCGCGGUAAUACGAGGGGGGCGAGCGUUGUUCGGAAUUAUUGGGCGUAAAGAGCGUGUAGGCGGCUUGAUAAGUCAGAUGUGAAAACCCUUGGCUUAACCAAGGAAGUGCAUUUGAAACUGUCUGGCUUGAGUACGGGAGGGGGAAGUGGAAUUCCCGGUGUAGAGGUGAAAUUCGUAGAUAUCGGGAGGAACACCGGUGGCGAAGGCGGCUUCCUGGACCGAUACUGACGCUGAGACGCGAAAGCGUGGGGAGCAAACAGGAUUAGAUACCCUGGUAGUCCACGCCGUAAACUUUGGGCACUUGGUGUUGCGGGUAUUGACCCCUGCAGUGCCGAAGCUAACGCAUUAAGUGCCCCGCCUGGGGAGUACGGUCGCAAGGCUAAAACUCAAAGGAAUUGACGG